UCUCUCUCUGGAUGUGCUGCUGUUGCUGCUGAUGCUCACUUCAUACUUCAUCUACACACGUUUUGCACCUUGUAAGAAAACAAGGAGAGGAGCAUGAAGGAAAAGCAAAGAGAGGUGAAGAAGGCACAGGAGGGAG